rnacentral:rRNA from 1 species
ACCGAACGCUUGUUGCCCGCUUAACACUUGUCCGUCAAGCGGGCGUAUCCCUACUUCACCGGCACAAGGUGGAGACUCCCAUGCGAACGUCCCUUUUGGUUCGGAACUUGUGACGGAAACUUCGGCUGAUACCCGAUCAGCCCUAACGGGGAAAGAUUUGUCGCCGACCGAUCGGCCCGCGUCUGAUUACCUGACUGGUGAGGCAAUGGCUCACCGGGGUGGACCAUCAGUACCUGGUCUGAUGGGAUGAUCAGCCACCCUGGGACUGAGACUCCGCCCAUACUCCUACUGGAGGCAGCAUCGCACAAUAUUGGACGAUGGAGGGCCACCCUGAUCCAGCCAUGCCGCGCGAGUGAUGAACGUCCUACGGCUGUGAAGAUCUUUUGAGCUGUAAGAUAAUGACGGUGCCUCUCGAGUAAGCCCCGGCUAACUUCCUGCCUCCACCCGCUGUAAUACGAAGAGGGGCUAUCGUUGCUCGGACUCACUGGGCGUCGAGGGCGCGUAGGCGGCUCUUUCACUCAGGGGCGACAUCCUGGAGCUCAACUCCAGAACUGCCUUUGAUACUGAGGAUCUUGAGUCCGGAAGAAGUGAGUGGAACUGCGAGUGUAGAGGUGAAAUUCGUAGAUAUUCGCAAGAACACCAGUGGCGAAGGCGAGUCUCACUGGUCCUGUACUGACGCUCGAGGCACGAAAAGCGGGGGGAGCAUACAGGGAUUAGAUUCCCCUUGGGUAGCCCACGCCUCGUAAACGAAUGUAAUGCCCGGUUCGUUUGGAGGAGUUUACUCUUCAGUGGCGCAGUUAUCGCUUUAAGCACUCGCGCCUGGGGAGUACGGUCGCAAGAUUAAAACUCAAAGGAAUUGACGGGGGCCCGCACAAGCGGUGGAUGAUGUGGUUUAAUUCGACGCAACGCGCAAAACCUUACCUGCCCUUGACAUCCCGGUAGCUGUUUCCAGAUGAUGGAUUCGUUCAAUUCAGAUGGACCGGAGAGGGCUGCUGGUGGCUGUCAUCUCUCGUGUCGAGAGAUGUUGGGUUAACCUCCCGCAAGAGCGCAAGGUCGUUCUUUAGUUGCUACCACUUAUUUAAGCACUGUAAAGAGUUUGCCGCUGAUAAUACGUGAUGAAGGUUGGGACGAUGUCAAGUCGUGAGGUCCUUUGAUGGCUGGGUUUCACACGUGGUUCAAUGGCGGUGACAGAGGGUCGUAAAGGCGCAAGUCUUCCCAAAUUUGAAAAAGUCGUAUCAGUUAGGAUUGCGGCUCUGCAAUUGUAGCCCAUGAAGUGGGAAUGGUUAGUAAUGGCAGAUCAGCAUGAGGCGGUGAAUAAGUUGUUCGGUCU